UUCUCUAUGCCUCAUCCUCUCUCGUUCUUCUCUUUUCCACACCCAAGGGUUAAACGUCCAUCUUUCUAUACACCAAGAGUUGAGGAGGCUUUUUUCUAUAGUGAGGAAUGAAGAGAAAAAUACUGCAAUUCAAGAGUUGAGUUUGCAGUCAAGAUCAAAGAGUUGAUCAAAGUUUUAAAAGGCUAAGAUCCUACUUGGAAA
rnacentral:lncRNA from 1 species